rnacentral:rRNA from 1 species
CGGACGGGUGGAGUAAUGUCUGGGAAACUGCCUGAUGGAGGGGGAUAACUACUGGAAACGGUAGCUAAUACCGCAUAACGUCGCAAGACCAAAGAGGGGGACCUUCGGGCCUCUUGCCAUCGGAUGUGCCCAGAUGGGAUUAGCUAGUAGGUGGGGUAACGGCUCACCUAGGCGACGAUCCCUAGCUGGUCUGAGAGGAUGACCAGCCACACUGGAACUGAGACACGGUCCAGACUCCUACGGGAGGCAGCAUG